rnacentral:lncRNA from 1 species
GUGUACAGGGUGUCCCAAAAAGAAGUGACACUAUAGAAAUUAUCCUAUUGUUAUAAUUUGAAUGCCCUAGCACUAAGUUGAUUCCACAGGUGCAUAAACUUCUUCUUCUGGAAUUUAAAAUAAAAAAGCAAACCGUUUAUUAGUGUAAUCGUUUUGCUUGACUCGGGCGUUAAAAUAUUUGGACAAAGCGAAAACGUUUUAAAAUGCUUAAAUGUAAAUACAAGUUCAUUAAAUUCCCAGGCGUGUAAUCACGCGCGUUUAAGAGCGGCUUAAGAACAAUGAGAUAAUUUCUAC